AAUGAACGCUGGCGGCGUGCAUAACACAUGCAAGUCGAACGAGAAACCCCGGGCUUGCUCGGGGGAGUAAAGUGGCGCACGGGUGAGUAACGCGUGGGUAACCUACCUUUGUCUGGGGGAUAACCUACCGAAAGGUGGGCUAAUACCGCAUAACGUGGUCGGGUUGUGACCUGAUCACCAAAGAUGGCCUCUCCAUGGAAGCUAUCAGGUAAAGAUGAGCCCGCGUCCCAUUAGCUAGUUGGUAAGGUAAUGGCUUACCAAGGCUACGAUGGGUAGCUGGUCUGAGAGGAUGGCCAGCCACACUGGAACUGGAACACGGUCCAGACUCCUACGGGAGGCAG
rnacentral:rRNA from 1 species